rnacentral:rRNA from 1 species
UACGUAGGGGGCUAGCGUUGCUCGGAAUCACUGGGCGUAAAGGGUGCGUAGGCGGGUCUUUAAGUCAGGGGUGAAAUCCUGGAGCUCAACUCCAGAACUGCCUUUGAUACUGAAGAUCUUGAGUUCGGGAGAGGUGAGUGGAACUGCGAGUGUAGAGGUGAAAUUCGUAGAUAUUCGCAAGAACACCAGUGGCGAAGGCGGCUCACUGGGGGUUAUCUGACGCUGAGGAACGAAAGCCAGGGGAGCAAACGGG